rnacentral:miRNA from 1 species
UCCCAGGUACAAGAACACAGC